CAGUCGCCACGGGAAUACAGAGGGUGCGAGCGUUAAUCGGAUUUACUGGGCGUAAAGCGUGCGUAGGCGGCUAAUUGAGUCGGAUGUGAAAUCCCCGAGCUUAACUUGGGAAUUGCAUUCGAUACUGGUUAGCUAGAGUGUGGGAGAGGAUGGUAGAAUUCCAGGUGUAGCGGUGAAAUGCGUAGAGAUCUGGAGGAAUACCGAUGGCGAAGGCAGCCAUCUGGCCUAACACUGACGCUGAGGUACGAAAGCAUGGGGAGCAAACAGGAUUAGAUACCCGAGUAGUCCCUGUCUCUUAUAA
rnacentral:rRNA from 1 species